UGGGGAAUUUUGGACAAUGGGGGCAACCCUGAUCCAGCAAUGCCGCGUGUGUGAAGAAGGCCUUCGGGUUGUAAAGCACUUUUGUCCGGAAAGAAAUCCUUGGCUCUAAUACAGUCGGGGGAUGACGGUACCGGAAGAAUAAGCACCGGCUAACUACGUGCCAGCAGCCGCGGUAAUACGUAGGGUGCAAGCGUUAAUCGGAAUUACUGGGCGUAAAGCGUGCGCAGGCGGUUUGCUAAGACCGAUGUGAAAUCCCCGGGCUCAACCUGGGAACUGCAUUGGUGACUGGCAGGCUAGAGUAUGGCAGAGGGGGGUAGAAUUCCACGUGUAGCAGUGAAAUGCGUAGAGAUGUGGAGGAAUACCGAUGGCGAAGGCAGCCCCCUGGGCCAAUACUGACGCUCAUGCACGAAAGCGUGGGGAGCAAACAGGAUUAGAUACCCUGGUAGUCCACGCCCUAAACGAUGUCAACUAGUUGUUGGGGAUUCAUUUCCUUAGUAACGUAGCUAACGCGUGAAGUUGACCGCCUGGGGAGUACGGUCGCAAGAUUAAAACUUAAAUGAAUUGACGGGGUCAUAGC
rnacentral:rRNA from 1 species